UACGGAGGGUGCGAGCGUUGUCCGGAAUCACUGGGCGUAAAGGGCGCGUAGGCGGCGCGGGGAGUCAACGGUGAAAGCUCGGCGCUCAACGCCGAGUCGGCCGUCGAUACUCCCGUGCUCGAGCACUGUAGAGGCAGGUGGAAUUCCGGGUGUAGCGGUGGAAUGCGUAGAGAUCCGGAAGAACACCGGAGGCGAAGGCGGCUUGCUGGGCAUGAUCUGACGCUGAGGCGCGAAAGCGUGGGGAGCGAACAGG
rnacentral:rRNA from 1 species